GCCCAAGCAUUGAGGCAGUCAAAGUAGGCAAAUCCGCUUUGAUAAUGCUGGGAUGUGAUGGGGAGCGAAAUUUAGUAGCGAAGUAGCUGAUUUCACACUGUCAAGAAAAGUCUCUAUCGAGGUUAAAGGUACCCGUACCGCAAACCGACACAGGUGGGUGAGGAGAGUAUCCUAAGGCCAGCGAGAGAACUGUUGUUAAGGAACUCGGCAAAAUGACCCCGUAACUUAGGGAUAAGGGGUGCCACCAUCAGGUGGCCGCAGAGAAUAGGCCCAAGCGACUGUUUACCAAAAACAUAGGUUUCUGCUAAGUCGCAAGACGAUGUAUAGGAGCUGACGCCUGCCCGGUGCUGGAAGGUUAAGGGGAUCUGUUAGAGCAAUCGAAGCAGUGAACUUAAGCCCCAGUAAACGGCGGCCGUAACUAUAACGGUCCUAAGGUAGCGAAAUUCCUUGUCGGGUAAGUUCCGACCCGCACGAAAGGCGUAACGAUUUGGGCACUGUCUCAACAACAGACUCGGUGAAAUUGUAAUUCCGGUGAAGAUGCCGGAUACCUGCGACAGGACGGAAAGACCCCAUGGAGCUUUACUGUAGCUUGACAUUGGGUCUUGGUACUACAUGUACAGGAUAGGUGGGAGGCUUUGAAACCAGGACGCCAGUUUUGGCGGAGCCAUCCUUGGGAUACCACCCUUGUAGUACUGGGACUCUAACCAUAGGCCAUGAAUCUGGUCUUGGGACACUGUCAGGUGGGCAGUUUGACUGGGGCGGUCGCCUCCCAAAAGGUAACGGAGGCGCUCAAAGGUUCUCUCAGUACGGUCGGAAAUCGUACGCAGAGUGUAAAGGCAAAAGAGAGCUUGAUUGCAAGACAUACAGGUCGAGCAAGGAUGAAAAUCGGACUUAGUGAUCCGGUGGUUCUGCGUGGAAGGGCCAUCGCUCAACGGAUAAAAGCUACCCUGGGGAUAACAGGCUUAUCUCCCCCAAGAGUCCACAUCGACGGGGAGGUUUGGCACCUCGAUGUCGGCUCAUCACAUCCUGGGGCUGUAGUAGGUCCCAAGGGUUGGGCUGUUCGCCCAUUAAAGUGGUACGCGAGCUGGGUUCAGAACGUUGUGAGACAGUUCGGUCCCUAUCCGUCGCAGGCGUAGGAAAUUUGAGAAGACCUGUCCUUAGUACGAGAGGACCGGGAUGGACGUACCUCUGGUGUACCAGUUGUUCUGCCAAGGGCAUGGCUGGGUAGCUAUGUACGGAAUGGAUAAGCGCUGAAAGCAUCUAAGCGCGAAGCCAACUUCAAGAUAAGAUUUCCCACCGCAAGGGUAAGACCCCAGAAAGACUAUCUGGUUGAUAGGUCGAAGGUGUAAGUGCAGCAAUGUAUUUAGCUUAUCGAUACUAAUAGGUCGAGGACUUGACCA
rnacentral:rRNA from 1 species